rnacentral:rRNA from 1 species
AGGACUAACGCUGGCGGCGUGCCUAACACAUGCAAGUCGAACGAAGUAGCAAUACUUAGUGGCAGACGGGUGAGUAACACGUAGUCAACCUGCCCUUCAAUGGGGGAUAACUAGCCGAAAGGUUAGCUAAAUACCGCAUAACACCUACGGGUCAAAGGAGCAAUUCGCUUCAGGAGGGGUCGCGGCAGAUUAGAUAGUUGGCGGGUAAUGGCCCACCAAGUCAGUGAUCUGUAU